rnacentral:rRNA from 1 species
CGGCGGACGGGUAAGUAAUGUAUGGGAAACUGCCCGAUGGAGGGGGAUAACUACUGGAAACGGUAGCUAAUACCGCAUAACGUCGCAAGACCAAAGAGGGGGACCUUCGGGCCUCUUGCCAUCGGAUGUGCCCAGAUGGGAUUAGCUAGUAGGUGGGGUAACGGCUCACCUAGGCGACGAUCCCUAGCUGGUCUGAGAGGAUGACCAGCCACACUGGAACUGAGACACGGUCCAG